GACCUUGUAGCUCAGUGGAUAGAGCAUUGGAUUAUCCCAAAGUCGCGGGGCAGGGUUCGAUUCCCACCGUGCAUGGUCA